rnacentral:tRNA from 5 species
GGAGUGAUACCCAAGAGGCCGAAGGGGCUCCCCUGCUAAGGGAGUAGGCGGUCAAAAGCCGCGCGAGGGUUCAAAUCCCUCUCACUCCGCCA